rnacentral:rRNA from 1 species
UACGUAUGUCGCGAGCGUUAUCCGGAAUUAUUGGGCAUAAAGGGCAUCUAGGCGGCCGGGUAAGUCCGGGGUGAAAACUGCUGGCUCAACCAGCAGCCUGCCUUGGAAACUACCCGGCUUGAGUGCCGGAGAGGUGGACGGAACUGCACGAGUAGAGGUGAAAUUCGUAGAUAUGUGCAGGAAUGCCGAUGAUGAAGAUAGUUCACUGGACGGCAACUGACGCUGAAGUGCGAAAGCUAGGGGAGCGAACAGG